GAGAGAUCAAUUUUGGCAGAAAACAUUGCUUAUGUGGUUGGCAAAAUUUGAGUAAUUGAUAGAUCUUAGGGUUUAGGUUAAGUGGAAACAGGAAUACGGUUUAGAAAUCUAUUAGGGUCUGAUCUGAUUUGAGCACAAAUAAGAGGGUUUGAGGGAAUCUGAAAAGCAAUAAAAUGGGGAUUGCAGAGUUAUGUUUUAGAAUGUUUAAUUUGAUGAUCAAGGCUAGGAAAUAUGGGAGGAACUAGGGUUUGUGAUGAUGGGACAAUGAAGAAUAGUAUGAGAUUGGAAUAUGGUUAGGGCAAAAAGAUAUGGUGAGCUACUUUAGUGUUAUGAAUUUAGAAAGAAUUGAAAGGCAAGAAGAGAUAGGGAGAAUAGAAAAGAAUAAUUACUGGAGGCUCAUGUUGCUUCGAAAUAAAAUCCCAUUGCUCAUAAUAGGAUUACUAAAAGCCUAAAGAUAAUACUCCCUCUUUACCAUAAAAAUAGACUUACUUCUAUUUUCACAUGGAUUAAGA
rnacentral:misc_RNA from 1 species